rnacentral:lncRNA from 1 species
ACCAGUGAUCUUAUUGCAUCACGACGAAGAGAUAUGGGGUAAAGAUGCAAAGAAGUUCAAGCCAGAGAGAUUCAGAGAUGGAGUCUCAAGUGCAACAAAGGGUCAAGUCACUUUUUUCCCAUUUACUUGGGGUCCCAGAAUAUGCAUUGGACAAAAUUUUGCCAUGUUAGAAGCAAAGACUACUUUGGCUAUGAUCCUACAACGCUUCUCCUUUGAACUGUCUCCAUCUUAUGCACAUGCUCCUCAGUCCAUAAUAACUUUGCAACCCCAGUAUGGUGCUCCACUUAUUUUGCAUAAAAUAUAGUUUAUUACUUGUAAGUAGUGUCUCGUUUUAUGUUAAGCAUGAGUCCAAAAUGUUAAGGCUUGUAGAACUGCAAAAUGGGAAUGCAUUUGCACUCGUGCACUGUAGAUUGUUGUAAUUGGAAUAGCAGAUUGUUUAUCUUAGAGUUUUAAGUUCUGUGUCCAUGGAAUUUUUACAUCAUUAAGUAAAAUUUACGUGCAACAAGUAACUUAUCAUAGUAAGUGAUCACGCCCAACUAUGCCUUAUAAAAAGGACUAAGCGGUCGUUGCAAAUAUAUUCUGGCUAAUAAGUCCGGAACUCACACAAAUUCACACAAUCAAUCUUCAGAAAUAUUUAAGUAACAUAUUGGGUUUUAUUAACUAAAUAUUACGUAAUGAAAAUGUAAUAAUUAACAACUAAUUACGAACGGGUUGUAAACAAGAAUUGGAAUGAUUUAAGGUUGUGAUUUUCCCUAUUGUCGGAAUUUUUUCUGCUACGUUUUCUACAAAUUUGCCUAAGUCUUCUCUAUCGACCAUGAGCACUCUAACUGUCAUAACUCUCUCCCGAGUAAUUACCACAAUUUACUAGGCGUAUUCUCCCGAAUUACGCUAGCUGGCAUUAAGUACAGCUCACUCAGAUCACAUCAAGGUUUCGUUAUCCCUAAACCCACCUUUAAACCUUCGUAUUGAUCCUUUAUAUACGUUUAGGAGUGAUGUUGUUCAACAACUACCUAAAUAUGCACUCUCUCCCGAGUAAUACAUACUAAAUAGGCAUAGCUAACUGAGGGCCCUUCAAUCAACCACAAGAAUAAUAUAGUUGAACAAAUAGAGAAAAUACUACGGCAAAUCUAUAUUAAUGUAACAAGAAAAUCAUCCUUCAAUAGGUUCCAUCAAAACCCUAGAUUAGGAAUUUAUCUACUCAUACUCAUAGUAACGAUAUCCCAAAUAUUUUGUAUAAUUAAAAUACAGAGUAACGAUGAAAAGAUGUAGAAAUGAUGAUUCUAACUCCCAAGGGGUGAUUCCACCAGCUAUUCUUGCCUCUGGCUGCCAAAAACGUCCCUCCAAGUGGUGUUUUUAGGUCUAUUUAUAUGUGUAGAAGAAACCCUAAACGUGUAGGCCAAGCCCUAGUCAAACCCGAAACGAAUUAAGUCUUCAAAACUCGGAUUGGACUUGGCCUCAGGCCUGGCGUCGCCAGCCUAACGCCUGGAAUUUGGCUGGCCUCGCCAGGUCUCUCCUUUUCACUGNNNNNNNNNNNNNNNNNNNNNNNNNNNNNNNNNNNNNNNNNNNNNNNNNNNNNNNNNNNNNNNNNNNNNNNNNNNNNNNNNNNNNNNNNNNNNNNNNNNNNNNNNNNNNNNNNNNNNUUUAAGCACACAAGUGUGACAUCCUCACCUCAAGAUUCGACUCACAAAUACCAUGCCUUAUUCAAAAUUCACUUACUUACUCUGACAUGGAUGUCAACAACAUUACCUUUCCUUUAUGAAUCAUGUGCCCUCACCCAAUCAAAGAGCUUAGUUCCACACACAAUGAAUUUUAAGAACAUAGGAACUCAAGAUAGACAAAAUUCAUUCUCUAUCAGAAAUAACAUUCAUAUGCCACAAAUGAUACACUAUAGGCUUUCCCGUAGUGUAAUACUCUACUAAUCGAGUUCAUUCAGUCUAAGAUCAACAAGGACUUUCAUUAGUUGUAAUGUAGGCUGCGGGUCGGGUAGGAUACAUUUGGAUAUGAGUGACUACACCUCCCUUAAGCACUUUAAUACAUAUACUUUAACACACAUCCCAUACUUAUGCCAAACCAAACAUUCCACCUUUACUUCAAUUUAUAUUACCCCAUAUUUCUUUAAGUAUAAUUACAUUAAGAGUCGCCACUUAUCAAAGAAUAUUCUUUUUCCCAUCAAUACAACUAUUAUUUUUUUUUUCUUUCUUUCUUUUUCAAUUCAGGCGGCUCUUACUUUUUCAAAACAGUUCACCUUUCUCCUUAUUUCAUUAGUUUCACGCAAAAAACCAAAUCAACCACCCCACACUUUAACUUUUACAAAGUUCAUAACAAUUCAAGUGCUCAUUAGAGGUAAAAAGAUUCAAAUAGAUGGUUAAUUCAAAUAAUUGGGUAAGGCUUGUAGUGUGGUUGCCAAAGAAACAGGAUUACAGGCUCAAAGGGGUUAACUACGUUACAUAACUUUUAGGUGGGUAAACUAUAUAUAUCUGGCUUAACAAAGAAACGCCUAUAUCACUUCUCAGACUGAACAAGGCUACUAUUUCGCUUUGCACACACACGGGGCAAGUUCUAGAAAUCAAAUGCAAUGCACAGAAUACAUACAAAACUCACACACACAUGGCACAUAACUCACUCAGGAUUGGUUUCAUCGCGACACUCCAGUCAAAGCAGUUAUGCAAAAUUAGGAAUCUACGAUUUAAGGUACUUAUGCGAGAGUCAAAAAUCGAGCCUAAGCGUCACAACCAUAGUACUAACUAUUCUCAAGGCAUAACAAAGCUAAGAGAUAUUGCUACAAUUAAAUGCAUAGUUUCGUGGUUACUACUCCUAAAAAUUAAAACUAACUACACCCGGUUCAACUAAAAACCACUGGAAAAGAAUCGCGACCCAAAGAAAAACCAAUGGGGAUUUACUACACUACCUACACACAAAAAAAAUCUUUUUGGUAUUUUCUUUUGACUUACUUCCCUCAAGAAAACUGUCUAGGAGAUUCAUCGUCGGGAUGAGUCCAAUUUUUAUUUUAUUUUUAUUUUUAACGGCACUAAAUAACUAAAACACAUAGCCAAAUCAAUUAUUAAACUACUAAAACACAUACUAAAACAAUUAACACUAAAUAACUAAAUAACUAAAAUUAACCAUGUACAAGUCCCCACCCCACACUUAGAUCAUGCAUUGUCCUCAGUGCAUGCACAAAAUGACAAAACACAAAAAAUGAGUAGGGUGUAAAGAAACUCCCUGAUCAAGCAACAUCUUCAUCCUCUGACGCUCUCCACUCCUCAUCAUGUUCGUCGUCCUCCUCCUCAUCAUCAUCUCCCUCACCAUCUGACUGCUCUGGCUCAGCUUCAGACUGCUCCGAUGUAUUGAUAUCCUCAUCAUUCGGGAGUCAGUAUCCAUCUCUUAACCCAACCAGCUGUUGGGCAUGAGCAUUGAGCGGGUACCGGUGCUCCAAUUCAGUCCUCUCCUCAGAUGUGGCCUGUAGACCUCCUAUCCUUAGCUGCAAAUCCAUCAUUAGAUAGAGAUGGGCCAUAAAACUAUCAUCACGAGCGUUGCGCUCGGUACUUGUCAACGAUGUUAUGGCAGUCUCUUCUUUCAGCCGGAGGCUAGUGAUGUCCGUUUAUCGUAGGGGCUGAUCAAUGGUGUGGUCAAACUCUAGCUCCUCCUCAACCUCCUCGUGUCUUAAGUACUGAGUUAGAAAAUUGGCAAUUGGCAUUUGAUCGAUCUUUUUACUCGUUCUGACUACAGACAUCUGGUAGCGGAUCAGAUGAACCACAUUUACCCUUUGACCCGUCAUGAGGAAGUAGAGUACACAGGUCCUCUCACGGCUAAUGAGUGUGUCAUGAUUGCACGGUAGGAGUCGUUCAUUUAUCAGUUUAAGCCACACUUGAGCCUCCGCCCUUAUCUCCUUCUUGGGAAACCUCUUGUGCCGAUUAGUUAUCUUAUCCCGGACCCAUGCUGCCGUAGAAUCGGCACCAUAAAGCAUGUGUCUCAACUCUCUGUAUGUAGGCCGGCGAAUGAAGUGGUCCAAUGUCUCCACAGGAACAUCCGGAGCACCUAAAAAGUUACAUAUGGCCGUGGGUGAAAAUUCUAUCAAUCGUCCACGAAUCGGCACCAGCUGUUCAGUACUCUGCGGAUCAAACCCUGCAUAGAAUUAUUGGACUAAGUUGAGAUUAGUGUUCCCUGUGUUCUUGAAUACAUAGCUCAACCCCAUAUCCUGAAUGCCCCUCCAAAUUGCCUGAUACUUUGCUUUCAAGCUGCGUUCAUUGAUAGCUGCUUCUGGGUGUACAUGUUUAGGCCUACAAUGCCUGUACCAAUCCUUAGUAUGCGGUGGUAUGCUGUUGAUGCCAAACUCCCAUUGGCCUUGUGGUUGUUGACGCAUGGCUGCUAUAGCUGCCACAGCUUGUACCCCACUUAGAUUGAAGGUAGCUUCCCCCCUUUUCUCUUCUUUAGGGGAGGUGCUGAGGUUGCCUUUACUUUAGCCGGCGCAGUGGAAGUAGCCUUGGCUUUGCCUGUGCCUUUUCUGGGAGGCAUCUUUGUUCCUAAACAAAUAAGCAGUAGUCAGAUAAAACUGCAUUACACACUACACACAUAAUAAACUUUUUUUUUCGACUUUCCGAGGUUACUCAGACUUCACCUCGUAUUUUCUUAAUAUUAGAAUCAAAGAACAACACAUGGACUACCCGCGAGCCACCCCACACUUAAGAUUUUAACGUGGUGUAUGACUUCAUAACACUAGUCUAUUAAUCCUGGAGACUCGAGCUCCAAUGGGGACAAGGAAUGCCAUUGAGGCAUUAUAUCAAACACUUAACAUGCAUUAGUGCCAUGGUAGUUCUUAUGGAGAUGAGGGAUUGCCUCAUCCUCCCAAAUCGUCUUGGGGGUUCCGUACUACCACAUGUUUUCAUAAUCGCAACACCAUUCCUAUGGGGUUUCAUGGGGUUGGGGCACACAAACUCAAUACCAUAAUGAAGAACAACCACCAAUUUUUGUGUGUAAUUGUACACAUGUACCUCUCUCGAAAUUACAAAGGAAAGAGAUCAAAUCAUACCUUUGAAGCGUUUGAGAGGAGGGAGCUGCCUGAGAAUUUCUGAUGAGUGUGAAAGAAUAGCAAGACUAAAUUUGACUUCAAUGGGGAUGGGGGAGACCACUAUGGCAAUGUGUUGUUGAGUGUUUGUGGGUGAGGGCAAUUUAUGCAGUGUGUUUAGUUAAGAGCAACGCUGAUGAGAUGAUAUGUGUGCUUGUGAAAUUUGUUUCUUUUAAAGCUUGAUGUGUGUUUGAGGUUAGGGUUGUUUGUAUUGUGUUCAGUGUUUAGGGCGUGUAAUGUGAGGAGGUUCGAUUAAAAUAACUUAAACUGGGCCGAAAUAACUUACCUGGCAUUGCCUGGCCCAGUACAUGGCGUUAGCCAGGCGUCGCCAGCCUAAGGCCAAGCAGAACCUGGCGUUAGCCAGGCGUCGCCUGCCCCAGCGCCUGGUGUACGUCAGGUGAUGCUAAAACCCUGUUCGACUUGCCCAAACUCGCCUGCAAACUUGUUAGUACCUAAAAACAAAACAAAAAAAAAGGAAAAAUUCUAACUACACUAAAAAUCAACUACGAAUUGGGUUGCCUCCCAACGAGCGCCUGAUUUAACGUCGUGGCACGACGCAGAUAAUUGCACUUAAUGCUCGCUUAACCUUGGUGGCUCAAGCAAAUGAGUCACCAACACUACUUUUGCAUCUUCCAUGCCCAAAUAAUGUUUUAACCUGUGCCCAUUGAUUCUAAAAGUGCGAGAGUCAUUUGAUGCAACAAUCUUUAUGGCUCCGGUGGGGUGAAUCUCCACCACACUAAAUGGUCCUGACCAUCGUGACUUUAACUUACCCGGGAAUAACCUCAACCUUGAGUUGUAUAGCAAUACCUUAUCUCCGGGUUUAAAACUCCGCUCAAGAAUAUUUUUAUCGUGCAUUAUUUUCAUUCUCUCCUUGUAUAAUCUUAUGCUCUCAAAAGCGUGGUAACGAAAUUCAUCAAGCUCUUGCAGCUCUGUGACUCUAUAUGUGCCCGCAGAUUCUAUAUCGAGAUUCAACUGUCGUAGUGCCCAUAAAGCUCUAUGCUCCAACUCCACUGGUAGGUGACAUGCCUUCCCAAAUACCCAAUUAUAUGGCAUCAUACCAAUCGGAGUUUUGAAAGCGAUACGAUAGGCCCAGAGUGCAUCAUCUAACUUUCUUGCCCAAUCCAUUCUUGUAGCAUUCACGGUCUUUGUCAAAACACUUUUUAUCUCUUUGUUCGACACUUCUACUUGCCCACUCGUUUGUGGAUGAUAUGGGGUGGAAACUUUGUGAUGUACACCAUACUUUUCUAACAGCUUUGUGAAGGCUCGAUUGCAGAAGUGAGUGCCUCCGUCACUGAUUAUCGCCCUUGGAGUGACAAAUCGGGUGAAUAUGUUCUAUCUCAAAAAACCAAUUACCCCCUUAGCUUCAUUUGUCGGGAGCGCUGCAGCCUUCACCCAUUUUGAAACGUAGUCCACAGUUACGAGUAUGUAUUUGUUACUAUAUGGGCUAAUGAAAGGCCCCAUGAAAUCGAUUCCCCACACGUCAAACACUUUUACCUCUUGAAUUGGGUUCAUAGGCAUCUCAUGUCGGCGGGAAAUAUUCCUAGUUCGUUGGCAUUCGUCACAACCUUUCACCCAUAAGUGUGCAUAUUUGAACAUUGUCGCCCAGUAGAAGCCCGAUUCCAGCACUUUCGCGGCGAUCCUUACUCCUCCAAAGUGGCCACCAUAUGGUGAUGCAUGACAAGCCUACAAAACAGAAGAUUGGUCUAUCUCAGGGAUACAUCUCCGGAUCAUGUUAUCAACACAAAUCCUGAACAGGUAAGGCUCAUCCCAAUAAUACAUGUGACAGUCAUGAAAGAACUUUUUCUUUUGAACAGAGGAAAGAUCAUAGGGGACAUUACCGCUUGCCAGGUAGUUUGCAAUGUCUGCAUACCAUGGCGCUUCCUCCAAUGUCACUGCUAGUAAUUGUUCAUCUGGGAAUGUCUCAGUUAUAUCUUCUACCUCGACUUUCUUUUCAGCUCCCUCCAACCUUGAAAGGUGGUCUGCCACUUGGUUAUCUGCCCUUUUUCUAUCGCGGAUCUCCAAAUCAAAUUCUUGUAGCAAAAGAACCCAACGGAUCAAGCGUGGCUUUGACUCCUUCUUUGCUAUCAGGUACCUAAGUGCUGCAUGGUCAGUAUAAACAAUCACUUUUGAACUAAUCAAAUAAGACCUAAAUUUGUCUAAUGCAAACACCACAUCCAAUAUCUCUUUCUCAGUCACGGUAUAAUUGAGUUGUGCACCACUUAGCGUUCUGCUUGCAUAGUAAAUUGGGUGCACCAGUUUGUCCUUCCGCUGCCCCAGGACUGCUCCUAUAGCAUAGUCACUCGCAUCACAUAUGAGCUCAAAUGGUUGCUCCCAGUUAGGUGCAACGAUGAUUCGUGCAGUCACCAGUCUCCUCUUCAGCUCCUCAAAUGCUAACCUGCAGUCAUCAAAAAUCACAAAAGAAUGAUCCUUUUCAAGGAGUUUACAUAAGGGGUUAGCAAUUUUAGAGAAAUCCUUUAUAAAUCGCCUGUAGAACCCGGCGUGCCCGAGGAAACUUCUUACUGCCUUAACUGAAGUAGGCAGUGACAACUUCUCAAUCACCUCAACCUUAGCAUGGUUAACCUCAAUACCCUUACUGGACACUCGAUGCCCUAGUACUAUACCUUCUUGUACCAUAAAAUGGCACUUCUCCCAGUUCAGCACUAAAUUUGUCUCCACACACCUUUUCAACACUCUUCUUAAAUUAUGUAGAGAGUCUAUAAAUGAAUCCCCUACCACAGAGAAAUCAUCCAUAAAGACUUCCAUAAUAUCUUCAACCAUUUCAGUGAAAAUGGCUAACAUACACCUCUGAAAGGUGGCCGGUGCAUUGCAUAGGCCAAACGGCAUUCUCCGUAAGGCAAAGAUGACAUACGGGCAAGUGAAUGAUGUCUUCUCUCUAUCCUCAAGGGCUAUUGAAAUCUGAUUGUACCCCGAGUACCCAUCCAAAAAGCAGAAGUGAGACCUCCCUGCCAGUCUAUCCAACAUUUGGUCAAUGAAUGGUAAAGGAAAAUGGUCUUUCUGGGUGGCUGUGUUCAGUUUUCUAUAAUCCAUACAAAUUCGCUAACCUGUAACUGUACGAGUUGAGAUUAACUCAUUAUUCUCACUGGGCACUACAGUCAUUCCACCCUUCUUUGGCACACACUGAAGUGGGCUAACCUAGUUGUUGUCAGAGAUUGGGAAGAUGAUUUCCGCAUCUAACCACUUGAUCACUUCUUUCUUCACCACUUCUUUCAUGUUAGGGUUUAGCCUUCUUUGAUGUUCUCUGGAAGGGUUGUGCUCAUCUUCCAAUUGAAUCUUAUGCAUACAAAAUGUCGGGUUGAUCACCCUAAUAUAUGCAAUGGUCCGGCCCAUUGCAGUCUUGCAUUCCAUUAACACCUGUAAAAGCUAUUCUGCCUGCACAUCUAACAAACUGGAUGAGAUAAUAACAGGUAAAGUGGAUUUAGGUCCCAAGAAAGCGUACCUGAGGUGAGAAGUAACGAUUUUAGUUCCAACUGUGGUGGUUCUUCAAUUGACGGCUUAGCUGGAGGUGUUUUUCUUUCUUCUAAGUGUAAGGUCUCGAAUUCGAGCUCUCUUUUCCAGUACCCUCGCCCCUCAAGGGCCAAAACCCACUCUGCUAAGUUUUCACCAUUCAUUUCUUCUAAGUUCACGAGGCAUGCUGCUAGAGGGUCUUUUGCAUUCAGAGUCUCAUCUUCCUCCUCCAAGAUCACAUCCACAGCUUCUAUCAGAGAGAAGUUAGCAAACUCACUGGGUCGCCACAUAGAUUUCUGCACAUUAAACGUUAUCUCUUCAUCGUUCAAUAUCAUCUUUAGCUCUCCAGUUUCACAAUCAAUUAGGGCUCUCCCAGUGGCCAAGAAUGGCCUUCCCAAAAUUAUGGGAAUAUCCUCGUCAACCCGGCAGUCUAAAAUGACAAAAUUUGCUGGGAAAACAAACUUCCCCACCUGUACUAAUACAUCAUCAAGGAUACCAGAGGGCCUCUUCACUGUCCGGUCGGCCAGCUGUAAUAACAUAGACGUGGGUCUAGCUCUUCCAAUGCCUAACCUUUUGUAGAUAGUCAAGGGCAUCAAGUUUAUGCUUGCCCCCAAAUCACAAAGUGCCUUAGCAAAUGCAUAGUUGCCUAUUGUGCAUGGGAUUGUGAAACUCCCUGGAUCUGAUAACUUCUCAGCUAUGGGUCUUGUCACAACAGCACUACAUGUCUGAGUCAGUGUAACCGUGGCCAAGUCUUGAAAGUCGAACUUACGAGACAUUGAGUCCUUCAUUAUUUUUGCAUAACCCGACAUUUCCUUUAAGGCGUCAAUCAAUGGAAUGUUUACCUGAAUUUGCUUCAACAUCUCCAAGAAUUUCUUAUAUUGCUCAUCUUUUUGAUAUUUGGCCAAUAUUUAGGGGAAGGGUGCUGGAGGCCACUUCUUUCCUGUGAUUUGAUUUUAAACCUGCUCUGGCACUGUUUCUGCUGCCUUCUCUUGCUCUGACUUAGUUUCCUUCACGACUUCUUUUUCUUUGCUUGUUUUAGCUGGCGCAUGUUGUACCGUCACCUCUGUUAACCCUGUUGAGUCAUCUAUCUUGAUGGGUACAGGCACAGGUGUUUCAGUAGGCCGGCUUUUGCGAGCCAUCUCUUGCUCCAGAUCUAGGUCUCUACCAUUUCGUAGACUCACUACCAUAAGCUGUUUCGGGCCCUAUUCUUUUGGAUUGACUUGUGUAUCUGCAGGUAAUAUCCCUUGGGGACGAUUGUUUAGGGCCAUAGAAAUUUGUCCUAAUUGAAUCUCAAUACCCUUUAUCGCUGAUUCAUGCGAGUCUACCCUCUGUUGUAUUUUUCCCGUGGACCCAAUCAAUUGUUGUUGUCCAGCAUUCCCUCAAGUUUAGUAAACCUAUCAUCUGGUCUCAUAAUCUAUUGUUGUUGAGGUUGUUGAUAAGUCAGCUGCUGAUUUUGCUGGAUGUAGCCCUGUUGCCUUUGGUAAGGCGCAACUUGACCCAGUGGUCACAUAGCUCCAAGAUUGUUGUUGUUAUUGUACUGCUGCUACGCUGGUCUAUAUUUUUGAUUAUGUUGACCCCAAUUCUGACCACCUUGCCUCUGUCCCCCAUAGUUGGCUACAUAAUUCAUAUCUUCCUGAUAUUGCUGGUUGUCACCUUCCGCACUCCACGAGCAAACAUAUAGUUGGUUAAUGCAUGGUGUACAUAAGCCCCCAUUAGUUGUGUCAACUAUGUGAACCUGCUGCUUCUGGCCUGAUUCAUCAAUCUUUUUGGUGAGGAUACUCAUUUGUGUCAUUAGAGUGGCCACAUUCUCAGCUAUGGAGUUGUUUGGGUCCAACGCCACUGAGUGAACUACCGGAGUGAUCGUGGAGGCUCUUGUCAUCCGUCCAGAGUUUUGUGCCAUCUUAUCAAGUAGGAUCUUGCAUUCUGCGAAUGUUUUACUCAGAAAUGCUCUACCUGCUGAAGCAUCAACAUUAGCCUUUAAGCUGUCAGCCAGUCCCAUGUAGAAUCUCUGCCCCAACAUCUGAUCUGGAAUACCAUGAUGUGGACACUUAACCAGCAUGCCCUUGAACCUCUCCCACAUUUCUUUUAGUGAUUCUGUUGGUCUCUGCCUGUAGCUCAAUAUAUCAUCAAUCUGUUGGGCAGUUUUAUUUGGUGGAUAGAAUUUGUUCAAAAAUUUCUUGACUAAUUCCUCCCAAGUAGUGAUGGAAUUUAUGGGGAGUGAAUUAAGCCAAGUCUGAGCUUCUCCUGUCAGCGAGAAUGGGAACAACAAAAGCUUUAUUGCGUAUGGUGUUACGUUAGGUUGCCUUUGCGUUAAACAUAUUGACAGUAAAUUCAUCAAGUGCUGCUGAGGAUCUUCAAUGUGUGACCCUGAGAACAGUCCCUUGUUCUGCAACAAAUAUAGCAUGUUAUUUGUGAUUUGAAAUGGUUCUGCUUGUAUCUGAGGGACUGCAAUUGCGGUUGCCAGAUUGGCAGCAGUGGGCUGUGCCCAAUCGUAUAAUGUUGUUUCUGGUACAAGAGGCACCACACCCCGAAUGUUUGGUUCAUUCUCAUUGUUUCUGAUGUUGAUUGGAUUUUCUAUUCCGUCAGCCAUGGUUGGUUCGAUUUGUUCUGUCGAGUUUCGUUGCUGUUCGCUUUUCUUGUUUGCAUGAUUUAGUGCCUUGAAAACUUUCUCAGGAUCUGAUAACACUUCAAGCAAUUCACCAGUUCUUGAGGAGUUCCUAGGCAUGCACCUGUAACACCCAAGACUACAAAUGUUAAAAUUUCAAUGUAUUUGGUUUAGAAUGGAGAAAAUUGACUACACUAAGAAUUCUAGCACUUCUUUUAGUUGCAAUUAAUAACACCGUUAAUUCCCCGGCAAUGGCGCCAAAAUUUGAUCACGCCCAACUAUGCCUUAUAUAAAGGACUAAGCGGUCAUUGCAAAUAUAUUCCGACUAAUAAGUCCGGAGUCGAAUCCCACAAGGAAUUAACCUAUCAAACACAGCUACUAGACUCGCACAAAUUCACACAAUCAAUCUUCAAAAAUAUUUAAGUAACAGAUUGGGUUUUAUUAACUAAAUAUUACGUAAUGAAAAUGUAAUAAUUAACAACUAACUACGAAUGGGUUGUAAACAAGAAUUGAAAUGAUCUAAGGUUGUGAUUUUCCCUAUUGUCGGAAUCUUUUCUGCUACGUUUUCUAUAAAUUUGCCUAAGUCUUCUCUAUCGACCAUGAGCACUCUAAUUGUCGUAACUCUCUCCAGAGUAAUUACCAAAAUUUACUAGGUAUAUUCUCCCGAAUUACGCUAGCUGGCAUUAAGUACAGCUCACUCAGAUCGCAUCAAGGUUUUGUUAUCCCUAAACCCACUUUUAAACCUCCGUAUUGAUCCCUCAUAUACGUUUAGGAGUGAUGUUAUUCAACAACUACCUAAAUAUGCACUCUCUCCUGAGUAAUACAUACUAAAUAGGCACAGCUAAUUGAGGGCCCUUCAAUCAACCACAAGAAUAAUAUAGUUGAACAAAUAGAGAAAAUACUACGGCAAAUCUAUAUUAACGUAACAAGAAAAUUAUCCUUCAAUAGGUUCCAUCAAAAUCCUAGAUUAGGAAUUUAGCUACUCAUACUCAUAGUAACGAUAUCCCAAAUAUUUUACAUAAUUAAAAUACAGAGUAACGAUGAAAAGAUGUAGAAAUGAUGAUUCUAACUCCCAAAGGGUGAUUCCACCAGCUAUUCUUGCCUUUGGCUGCCAAAAACGUCCCUCCAAGUAGUGUUUUUAGGUCUAUUUAUAUGUGUAGAAGAAACCCUAAACGUGUAGGCCAAGUCCUAGUCAAACCCGGAACGAAUUAAGUCUUCAAAACUCGGACUAGACCUGGCCUCAGGCCUGGCGUGGCCAGCCUAACGCCUGGAAUUUGGCUGGCCUCGCCAGGCUAAAACCUAGUUCAGCCUGGCCUUUGGCUGGCCUCGCCAGGUCUUUCCUUUUUACUGUUCUCGAGCACACUUUCAACGUUUAAGUAUCCCUUUUGCUCUACUUUCAUCUCCAAUUCACCUACACAUAAAAUAGACUCCAUUAUGCGCAAAUAAAGUAUAAUUUAUCAUUAAAGCAUGUAAAAUGCAAGGCACAUAAUGUACGAAAUUAUGGAAUUAUAGCCACACAUCAGUAAGCUCGAUAUUAUGAGCUUAGAAAAAGAGUACCAACUUAUUAUAGCCAGAGGUGGAUAUAUUAUUUGAAGUUUAUGAGUUCAAAAUGUAAGUGAAUGCACUAAUUAUUUGAGUAACUGGUAAUUUAGUAGAUUUUUUAAUACUUAUAUAGAGUCUGAGCCAAAACUAUUGAUUCAGCUAAACCCGUAGCUUUAAUGGUGCAUCCGUCCCUCAUUAUACCAAAUAAAUUGCAAAGAUAGUAUAAUAAUUCUUUACAAAAUUCAGCUUCAUCUACUUUUUCAAAUAAUUUUACUACUAGUAGAUAAGUGCAUAAAAUGGAAUAAAAGGUAGAAAAAGAUUCAUGAGCAAAUUCUUUUUGGGAAGAGUUAAUAUACCAAAACUCUCCUAAAUGUGCUCGUUUUGCAAGUUUCAUACUUAAACUAUGGAGGCUUCUAUAAUCCUCUAUACUACAUUGUUCUCAUAUGUUUAAAAAAAAGAAGCUUUAUUUCAAGUGUAUUGCCACAUGGCAGUUUUAAAAGGGAUUUUUGGAGGGUGAGACUCAUGCAACUAGAGACAGAUCCAAGAUUUAAUGCUUAUGGGUUUCUGCAACGAUUCCGAUUAAAUUUUUAAUAGUAACUGGGUACACAUUCAAUUAUUUAUAAAUAUUUAGUAAAUUUUUCGAACACAUUUACAUUGUUUGAACAAAAUUUACUAGGUUCACGUGAACCCGUAGGUUGAGAGGUGGAUCCGCCCCUGCAGACAACACAUCAUUUUCCUUGGGGGUGGGGGGCUAUGUUAAUAAACAACAACAACAACAAUAACAACCCAGUAUAAUUUCACUAGUGGGGUCUGGAGAGGGUAGUGUAUACGCAGACCUUACCCCUACCCUGGGGUAGAGAGGCUGUUUCCAAUAGAAACUCGGCAUCCUUUCCUCCCAGUAUAAUUCCACUAGUGGGGUCUAGAGAGGGUAGUGUGUACGCAGACCUUACCCCUACCCUGGGGUAGAGAGGCUGUUUUCAAUAGAAACUCGGCAUCCUUCCCUCCAAGAACUCCCCACCUUGCUCUUGGAAUGAAUCGAACUCACAACCUCUUGGUUGGAAGUGGAGGGUGCUUACCAUCAGAGCAUCUCACCUUGUCUGCUAUGUUAAUAAAGAACAAUGUAAUUCAUGGGUAAUAGAAACUCUCCAUAGUUUAAGAAAUUCUCCAUAGUUUAAGUAUGAAAAUUGCAAAACAUGUAUGUAUAGGAGAAUUUUGAUGUAUUAACUCUUUUGGGCAUUUUAAAAAUUUCUUCAUUUAGUAAGAAAUUGAGCCCCAAAAAAGUGUUCGUGUCUUGAAUUUCUUCUAUAAAAAAAUUUCACUUAGUUUACUAACUCUCUAACUAGUAUGAACCUCAAAAGGGAAAAAAGAAAAAGAUCUUCUACAGACUACAGACACGCUCUUCAUAUCUACUAAAGUUUUUUCCUCUUACUUUUCUUCUUCUUUUCUCCCAGUGUACCACAUCGCAAUUAACAUCCCUUUUGUAAAUUUGUGGAGAAAAAAAGAUACUGUUAUAGUUAGAAAUAAUUUAUUUUAAAAUUUUAUUUUACUGUUAAUAUCAUAAUUUUAUAACUACAAAAGUAUUUAAGAUCAUAAUUUCAUUAUCUUUUUAUCUUUUCAUAAAUGAGGUUCACAUUCACAUAAAAUUAAAUAGAGGUAGUGGUUGAAUUCUGUUAUUUUGUCGGAUUUGCUAGUCAUUGAUGGAGACCUUUUGGUUUUAUCCCACAUGAUUCACGAACUUGGUAGAUACUCCCUUCGAUCGAUUUUUUGGUUUUGUUUGUGGUUCACAAUAUUUAAUUUUUUUUCAGAUAUUAAGAAAGAAUUAUAACUUUCUUUUCAAAGUUGUCAGAACCAAACAAUCAGUGGAUGCGGGAGUAAUAUAUAAUAUGCAAGUUGUAGAAAGAGAAAAAAAAAAUCAAGUAGCUAUUCUAUACUGGGGCACAAAUAGUGAGUGAAAAUGGAGACUGUUCAAAUCAUAAUAACAGCAUCUUGUGCUGCCAUAAUAAUUACUCUAGUGGUGUGUAUUUGGAGAGUACUGAAUUGGGUUUGGUUCAGACCAAAGAAGCUGGAAAAACUAUUGAGGAAACAAGGUCUCAAAGGCAACUCCUACAAGAUUUUGUAUGGGGAUAUGAAGGAGCUUUCUGGUAUGAUUAAGGAAGCUAAUUCCAAACCCAUGAAUCUUUCUGAUGAUAUUGCACCAAGAUUGGUGCCUUUCUUUCUUGACACCAUCAAGAAAUAUGGUAUGUUUCACAAAUCCCUCGUUCAUUUUCUUCACUCAUGACCACUCUUUUAUUUUCUAACCAUAUUGUUCGGGACAGUUUGUGCGCCUCUCGUCUAAUUUUACAUAGGUUAACCAGUUUUCGGAGUGAGUAAUCGAAAAAUAGCUAGCGUUUGCAAAGUCAUUGAAAAAAUAGCCAUUAUUUUAUGCGGAGAUAAAAUCUAGACAAAAAUACCCUUGUUGAAACACGGAAAGUUACAGCAUAAUGUGCUAAAUUAUGGAGCUCUUGCUUAUAAACUUGUAGUAUAUUAUGUUGGAAUUCUAGCACAUUUGUAAUCUCAUAUGUAAAAAAUUCGAAAUUGCAGUAUAAUAUACUGGAAUUUUUUCCUAUUUUUAAGGAUAUUUUUGUUCACAUUUAUCUUUAUAUGAAAAAAUGGCUAAAUUUCGAUUACUUUUAAAACUGUGACUAUUUUUCAGUUACCAAUUGUAAAUCAAGCUAUUUCUGAUUUUUUCCCAAUUUCACAGGGUACCUGUAUCGGGUAAUAAGUCACAUAGCAUUUUUGUCUCUGCUGCGAUUUGAGCAUGAGACUGCAUGGUUCUCAAUCCACUUCUUGGAUGCUUUACUCAUAACCACUUAGUUGACUGAAUAACUUGAAUCUCUUAUAAAAUUGUCCAGCUGAAAUAGAUAAAGACCAGUUGUGUCAAGAUUUCAAUUUGUUUAUCCCUCCACUAAUUCUACUUAUCACAUUCUCUGUCUUACUUGCUGAAGACAUGAAGUUGGAUCUUGAAUCCCCAAAGUAUGGGGGUUUAGUCGGUACAACCCACCUCAACUUUGUUCUUAGGCACUAAACUUAAAAGAAGAUAAACAAUUGCAUGAUUAACUGAACUCUGAUCCUAUGCAAGCUGGUACUGUGUUCCAUGUUAUCUUCACUGACUUUUUAAUCCCCUGAUCAGUAAAUCUGUCAUUGUAUUAGGCAUGACAAACGAAAGAUUGAACAAAUUGAAAAAUAAGUUCCAGAAUUGACUAGCCAUCGUGCACUGCGGAAAGAAAUGAUUGCUGCUCUCCUCGACCAUAUUAGACAAGUAGCACUUACUGCAAAUCAUCAUCCCCCUUCGUUGUAGAUUACAUUGGGUUAGGCGUGUCUUCAUGUGUAAGCAGCCACAUGAAACAUGCUAACUAAUAGGGUGCUUUAGUUUUUCAUAGUUGCUUCCAAGGCCAAGUAUGAUUGCUUCCGGGGACCUUGUUUAACUCUAUGUAACAUGAGCCAACUGAGAAGAUCCAGUUAUGUUGCAUUUUCCACAUUAGCUUGAUCUUCUUCUUCUGCAUUUAGGUUCACUAAUCUUUUAACAAAAGAGCCACUCUUGGUAUUUCCUGAUAAAAACAAAGCCUCCUAUUAUUGACGCAGCAAUUGCUUCCUUCCCAACAUUGUUAUACCAGUGAGUGCAUUCAAAAGAGAAGCUAUAAAGAUCGCUAUAAGACAUCAUAAGAGGAGUGUAACCAAUUAAACUGGCCCUUAUUUUAAUUGCAAGGUUAGGUUUUGGAACAUGGAUUUUGAAGAUCUUGCAUUGUGCCUUCUUCUGUCCUGCUCGCUUUUUUAAUCUUUCAAAAGCCCUGAUAGUUUCAUUUUUAUGUUGGAUAGAUAUUCAUCUUCAGUUUGGAGUAGUUAAUAUGGAAACAUCUGCUUGCAGGUAAAAAAUCCUUUGUAUGGUUAGGUCCGAAACCACUGGUUCUUAUCAUGGACCCUGAGCUUAUAAAGGAAAUAUUUUCCAAAUACUAUCUGUAUCAAAAGCCUCAUGGAAAUCCAGUUACCAAGCUAUUAGUACAAGGACUAGUAAGCCUAGAGGAAGACAAAUGGGCCAAACAUAGAAAAAUCAUCAAUCCAGCUUUCCAUCUAGAGAAGCUAAAGGUUUGUAACUGCAAUGGAUUCGGUUUAAGUUGUAUUUUUAUGUUUUCUUUACUCUUCUUUUCAUUGAAACAGCAACUUAAUUAUGAUUCUUUUUUGAGGUAUGUUUUUGGAACCAUCUUGUGUUCCUGAUUACAAAGUCGAUACAUUUUGAAGAACUGUCCGUUCAUUGAGUUUUUUCUCUUAACCAUUUCUUAAACAGCAUAUGCUUCCAGCUUUUUGCUUGAGCUGCACUGAGAUGCUGUGCAAAUGGGAAGAUAUUGUUUCAAUUAAGGGCUCACAUGAGAUAGAUGUAUGGCCUCACCUUGAACAAUUAAGUAGCGAUGUGAUCUCUCGGACAGCUUUUGGCAGUAACUUUGAAGAAGGUAAAAGGAUAUUUGAACUUCAGAAGGAACAAGCUCAGUAUUUUGUAGAAGCUAUACGCUCGGUUUAUAUACCAGGCUGGAGGUAAUUUGAUUUGCUUUAACAAUAGUCAUAUUACUCCUACUCAAAGUUCAUCGGGAAGUGCAACACGGUUAACUCUCACUCUAAUGUUUGAUUAUUUUGUUGAUGCAUAUUGCUUUCCCUUUUUCAGAUUACUUAAUUAUUAAACUAUUUCACAGGUUUUUGCCAACAAAGAGGAACAGAAGAAUGAAGGAAGUUGAAAAGGAUGUUCGGGCCUCGAUAAGAGGCAUUAUUGAUAAAAGAGUGAAGGCAAUGAAAGCAGGAGAGGCGAGUAAUGAGGAUCUACUUGGUAUAUUGUUGGAAUCUAAUUUUACAGAAGCUGAACAGCAUAGACACAAGGAUUCUGCGAUGAGCAUUGAAGAAGUCAUUCAAGAAUGCAAGUUAUUCUAUGUUGCUGGCCAAGAAACUACAUCAGUGUUGCUUGUGUGGACUCUAAUAUUGUUGAGUAGGCAUCAAGAUUGGCAGAGCCGAGCCAGAGAAGAGGUGUUUCAAGUCUUUGGUAAUCAGAAACCAGAUUUUGACGGAUUGAAUCGUCUAAAAGUUGUAAGUGUCCUCGUUUGUUGGUUCAAUUACUCAGCCAUGGGAUUUAUGGCUGUUAUUGCAAUUAGAUGGUGCUUUUUUUUAUAAAGUAAUAAAUUUAGUAUACCAAAAAGAAGAAAACCUACAAAAAGAGAUGGUUUCUACAAACGACACCCAAUCUUCAAUACACAAAGGAAUCUCAUGAGUGCACCAAAAAGUAAAAGGGAUAAGAGGCCACUCCUCAACCGUACAAAAUUCAUUUUUACACCCUCAAAAGCUCUCCUAUUUCGGUAUCUCCAAACUACCAACAUGAGUGCGAGAGGAGUCACAUUCCAUGCCCUACGAUUUCUCCUUCAUUUUCCACUAUUCCAGCUGAACAUUAACUCCUUUAUAGUGUCAGGCAUCACCCAUCCAAUACCAAACCACCUCAGGAUUUCCCACCAUAGCCUUGUAACUACCUGACGAUAUAGAAGAAGAUGUCCCACGUUAGCCUUGCACAUGUAGCACCAACUCACAUAAGUGACCUUCCUCUUUCUCAAUUUUUCAGCCGUCAAAAUCACCCCUUUUAUUGCUAACCAAGUGAAAAGACACAGCUGCCUUGGUACUUUAGGGAUCCAAAUCAAGUUACGUGGAAAGUCAACCUCUUCCUUAACCAAGAGCUUCUCAUAGUAUGACUUUAACGAAAAUAUUUCAUUGUUCCCCGCCUCCUCACUUCCAUUCAUCGUGGAUAUCCCGCGGUAUGCUUUGUUUAUGGAGCAAGUCAAUCAAGUUUUGGAACUCUGGCACCUCCCAAUCUUGUAGAUUUCUUCUAAAACUCAAAUCAUAGAAAAUAUCUCCACUUUGAGACCUUCGGACUUGAUUAGACAAGAAUUGCAUUUUAAUCUAUGCUUGAUAGUGGAAUAGAUAUAGCGAUGUUUCCCCUAGGGAAAUCAACUCUAUAUCCUUGCUUUCUUGAUGUUAGUGGAUCCAUCCAAGCAUGAGCAGGCGCAGAUGCAGUAUAUAGGCAGUGGGUUUGUCCACAUCCAUUGUUUCUGCUUUAACUCAAACAAUUUAUAGGAAAAAAAUAUAAUUAAACUAAGUUCACUCUCAUUUUGACAAAAGUGUAAUGAGUGCUGUAGUACUGUUCAACCAUGUACUUAAAACUCUAGAUCCUCUUAUGAUCAUUAGGGACAACUCGCCCCCCACCCCACCCCCAAAGAAAGGGAGAUGAAAUGUGGUUUUCUCAUUUGCAGGCUGGUCCCGAGCUAAAUGAGUACUUCACUAGGAAUAGUUUGGGCACAAAUCUUAUGUCAAGUCUUUUUUCAUGAUAUAUAUAACUGAUGGAGUACCUUUUGCUGCAGGUGACAAUGAUCUUGUAUGAGUCUUUAAGGCUAUACUCCCCAGUAGUGUCACUAAUCCGGCGGCCUAAUGAGGAUGCUAUAUUAGGAAAUGUAUCUCUGCCAGAAGGUGUGCUACUCUCAUUACCAGUGAUCUUAUUACACCACGAUGAAGAGAUAUGGGGUAAAGAUGCAAAGAAGUUCAAUCCAGAAAGAUUUAGAGAUGGAGUCUCAAGUGCAACAAAGGGUCAAGUCACUUUUUUUCCAUUUACUUGGGGUCCCAGAAUAUGCAUCGGACAAAAUUUUGCCAUGUUAGAAGCAAAGACUGCUUUGGCUAUGAUCCUACAACGCUUCUCAUUCGAACUGUCUCCAUCUUAUGCACAUGCUCCUCAG